rnacentral:lncRNA from 1 species
ACUAUUCUUCAAAACAUAAAGAAAAUAACUUUACAUACUAAAAUAAAUGUAUCCAACAACAAUGAGUUUAAACAAAGCACAAAUACAUCUUUUAAGCAAAAAUUGAAACUUUAUCCAAAAUAAUCAAAGAAUAAAGUAAAAAAAGGCACAUACAACUAUUGCUAGCUCAUUUUUAUAUCAUGAACAUGAAAAUAAUUAGAAUAUCGAUACCACAACGUUCUAGGGCCUUCAAGGC